UUAGAGUUUGANUCCUGGCUCAGAUUGAACGCUGGCGGCAGGCCUAACACAUGCAAGUCGAGCGGUAGAGAGAAGCUUGCUUCUCUUGAGAGCGGCGGACGGGUGAGUAAUGCCUAGGAAUCUGCCUGGUAGUGGGGGAUAACGUUCGGAAACGGACGCUAAUACCGCAUACGUCCUACGGGAGAAAGCAGGGGACCUUCGGGCCUUGCGCUAUCAGAUGAGCCUAGGUCGGAUUAGCUAGUUGGUGAGGUAAUGGCUCACCAAGGCGACGAUCCGUAACUGGUCUGAGAGGAUGAUCAGUCACACUGGAACUGAGACACGGUCCAGACUCCUACGGGAGGCAGCAGUGGGGAAUAUUGGACAAUGGGCGAAAGCCUGAUCCAGCCAUGCCGCGUGUGUGAAGAAGGUCUUCGGAUUGUAAAGCACUUUAAGUUGGGAGGAAGGGCAGUUACCUAAUACGUGAUUGUUUUGACGUUACCGACAGAAUAAGCACCGGCUAACUCUGUGCCAGCAGCCGCGGUAAUACAGAGGGUGCAAGCGUUAAUCGGAAUUACUGGGCGUAAAGCGCGCGUAGGUGGUUAGUUAAGUUGGAUGUGAAAUCCCCGGGCUCAACCUGGGAACUGCAUUCAAAACUGACUGACUAGAGUAUGGUAGAGGGUGGUGGAAUUUCCUGUGUAGCGGUGAAAUGCGUAGAUAUAGGAAGGAACACCAGUGGCGAAGGCGACCCACCCUGGACCUGAUACCUGACCACUGAGGUGCGAAAGCGUGGGAGCAA
rnacentral:rRNA from 1 species